NNNNNNNNNNNNNNNNNNNNNNNNNNNNNNNNNNNNNNNNNNNNNNNNNNNNNNNNNNNNNNCACCCCGCUCCUGCCCAGCACCCUGCACCGGCCGGCUGCGGAUCAGGUGCUGCCGCGCAGGGUUGCACCAGGCCCRCGUCGGCCCCGCUGCAAGCCGGAGCCUGAGCCUGGGCAAGACGAUUCGCGUCCCCGGCUGCACCGGUGCCCGGCAGCCCCCGCGCCGGAUGUGAGCUGGGUGCUGGGCACGCCGUGCAGCCAGUGCGGAGGUGGCCGUGGGGGCCGGGGCAGCACCCCCAGCACCCCGAGCUGCGCCCUGCCAGCCGGGGUGAAUUUCCACGGCGCUGAGCUAAUGAAUGAAAAGGGCCGAGCGUCGAGGCUCGCUCGGAGCCGGGCCCGGAAAGCUGCCUCCGGGCGAAGGGUGUGCUGAAUUUAUCAUUGCCGCAUGCCAAGGGCCGGAUCCUGCCAGGAGAGCCGCCGGGCUCGCGUGGGAGCAGAGCUGCCCCACGGGUUUGGGCGCUUCCCCCCACUGGCAGGCAAGUCCCGGCGGGGCCCAGGGCCGCGCAGCAACUCCCCGGAGGUGCCCGGGGCCAUGGGACAGCGGGAUGGCGCCCGCCGGCCGGGCGCGGGGCAUCCCGGCGAGGCGGCGGCGCGCGGCUUGCCGUGUGUCAAGGAUUCCUCCCGGGCGGGGGAAAUGGAAACCAGUUUCUUCCAAUCUCUUAUCACCCGGCAGCCAUGUGAGGAAAUGAGUUAUAAAGUCCAGCAGGCCUGUUUCCUCCCGCGCCGCRCGGGGGGAGCACACUGCGGGGUGCCCGGCGCACCGCGUGCCCGGCAUGCCGCCGCUUCGCCCCCCGCGUGCUCCGCUCGGCAUCCGUGCAGGGCACCGGGUGCUCCCGCAUGCUCCRGCACUCGGGGCCACUCCGUGCACUGCUGUGCACCCCGCUGGGGUGCCGAGCCAGGGGGAGGCAAAGCCAGCAAAUGGGCUCAGCUCCAUUGCGGGAUUCCUGGCGGGCGGGUGGGAUGUGGGGAGCCUUCCUGGCUCUCCCUCCCCCCCCCCAGCGCAGCGUGCUGUUCCCGCAGCGCCCCGUGGGCAGCGUGCGCGGGCACAGCCGCCGCCGCGCCGGCUGCCAAGGCCCUGCCAUCUGCGCGCGCGGAGCCGCCAGGCCGGGCUGCACGCUGCGGCUCCCCGACACCUCCCCGACGGUGCGGCACGGCGCCGGUGCCCUGCGGCGGGGUGCAGCCGGCGUGCCGGCACCCCUGGCCGCCCUUUCUGCUGGGGCAGGAAGGAAGAGCGGGGCGGGCUGGCUGCACCGCCGCCUGCCAGGCUUCCUCCGUGGGGAUAACGGGAAAGCGCCG
rnacentral:lncRNA from 1 species